UACAGAGGUCCCAAGCGUUGUUCGGAUUCACUGGGCGUAAAGGGUGCGUAGGCGGUCGGGUAAGUCUGUUGUGAAAUCUCCGAGCUUAACUCGGAAACUGCAGUGGAUACUAUCCGGCUCGAGGAAUGGAGGGGAGACUGGAAUACUUGGUGUAGCAGUGAAAUGCGUAGAUAUCAAGUGGAACACCAGUGGCGAAGGCGAGUCUCUGGACAUUUCCUGACGCUGAGGCACGAAAGCCAGGGGAG
rnacentral:rRNA from 1 species